GGGAGGUAUGAACUCUCCGCCAUUUUGUCCCAUUUCGGGGACACAUGUGACAGUGGCCACUAUGUGGCAGACCUCUUGGAGGCGGGGGGCCAGACCUGGGCCAAUUAUGACGAUGAAGAGGUGACCCCAGUCACUAAGGAGGCUGUCUUGGAGGGCAGGGCCAAGACAGCCUACAUGCUUUUCUAUGAACGCAAGUGACUGGGGUCCUGACACCUCAAGGUCUGGCCCCCCAACAUGACCACCAGCAACACCAUCACCUCCAUCAUAGUCCACCAGUCACAGC